rfam:Candidatus Altiarchaeales archaeon WOR_SM1_SCG NODE_9_length_36987_cov_292.748_ID_7, whole genome shotgun sequence.
GGGCCCAUAGGGUAGCCUGGAUAUCCUUGGGGACUUCGGAUCCCCAGACCCGGGUUCGAAUCCCGGUGGGUCCG